CAAGUCGAGCGCAGGAAGUUCACAGAAGCCUUCGGGUGGACGUGGAUGGAAUGAGCGGCGGACGGGUGAGUAACACGUGGGCAACCUGCCCUGCAGACCGGGACAACCUCGUGAAAACGAGGCUAAUACCGGAUGACCACUGGCACCGCAUGGUGCCAAUGUAAAAGUGGGGAUUUAUCCUCACACUGCAGGAUGGGCCCGCGGCGCAUUAGCUGGUUGGUGGGGUAAUGGCUCACCAAGGCAACGAUGCGUAGCCGACCUGAGAGGGUGAUCGGCCACACUGGGACUGAGACACGGCCCAGACUCCUACGGGAGGCAGCAGUAGGGAAUCAUCCGCAAUGGGCGAAAGCCUGACGGUGCAAUGCCGCGUGAACGAUGAAGGUUUUCGGAUCGUAAAGUUCUGUUAUGAGGGAAGAACAAGUGCCGUUUGAAUAAGGCGGCACCUUGACGGUACCUCACGAGAAAGCCCCGGCUAACUACGUGCCAGCAGCCGCGGUAAUACGUAGGGGGCAAGCGUUGUCCGGAAUUAUUGGGCGUAAAGCGCGCGCAGGCGGUCUCUUAAGUCUGAUGUGAAAGCCCACGGCUCAACCGUGGAGGGUCAUUGGAAACUGGGAGACUUGAGUGUAAGAGAGGAAAGUGGAAUUCCACGUGUAGCGGUGAAAUGCGUAGAUAUGUGGAGGAACACCAGUGGCGAAGGCGACUUUCUGGCUUACAACUGACGCUGAGGCGCGAAAGCGUGGG
rnacentral:rRNA from 1 species